UGGCUCAGUGGUUAAGAGCACUGACUGCUCUUCUAGAGGUCCUGGGUUCAAAUCCCAG
rnacentral:tRNA from 1 species